AUUGAACGCUGGCGGCAUGCUUUACACAUGCAAGUCGAACGGUAACAGGCCGCAAGGUGCUGACGAGUGGCGAACGGGUGAUUAAUGCAUCGGAACGUGCCCAGUCGUGGGGGAUAACUACUCGAAAGAGUAGCUAAUACCGCAUACGAUCUAUGGAUGAAAGCGGGGGACCGUAAGGCCUCGCGCGAUUGGAGCGGCCGAUGUCAGAUUAGGUAGUUGGUGGGGUAAAGGCUCACCAAGCCAACGAUCUGUAGCUGGUCUGAGAGGACAACCAGCCACACUGGGACUGAGACACGGCCCAGACUCCUACGGGAGGCAGCAGUGGGGAAUUUUGGACAAUGGGCGCAAGCCUGAUCCAGCAAUGCCGCGUGCAGGAAGAAGGCCUUCGGGUUGUAAACUGCUUUUGUACGGAACGAAACGGCUCUGGUUAAUACCCGGGGCUAAUGACGGUACCGUAAGAAUAAGCACCGGCUAACUACGU
rnacentral:rRNA from 1 species